rnacentral:rRNA from 1 species
GUGGGGAAUCUUGCGCAAUGGGCGAAAGCCUGACGCAGCCAUGCCGCGUGGAUGAUGAAGGUCUUAGGAUUGUAAAAUCCUUUCACCGGUGAAGAUAAUGACUGUAGCCGGAGAAGAAGCCCCGGCUAACUUCGUGCCAGCAGCCGCGGUAAUACGAAGGGGGCUAGCGUUGCUCGGAUUUACUGGGCGUAAAGGGCGCGUAGGCGGACAUUUAAGUCAGGGGUGAAAUCCCGGGGCUCAACCUCGGAACUGCCUUUGAUACUGGAUGUCUUGAGUGUGAGAGAGGUGUGUGGAACUCCGAGUGUAGAGGUGAAAUUCGUAGAUAUUCGGAAGAACACCAGUGGCGAAGGCGACACACUGGCUCAUUACUGACGCUGAGGCGCGAAAGCGUGGGGAGCAAACAGGAUUAGAUACCCGUGUAGUCC